rnacentral:tRNA from 7 species
GGGGGCGUAGCUCAGCUGGGAGAGCGCUUGAAUGGCAUUCAAGAGGUCAACGGUUCGAUCCCGUCCGUCUCCACCA